rnacentral:rRNA from 1 species
CACUCCUGCGGGAGGCAGCAGUGGGGAAUAUUGGACAAUGGGCGCAAGCCUGAUCCAGCCAUGCCGCGUGAGUGAUGAAGGCCCUAGGGUUGUAAAGCUCUUUCACCGGUGAAGAUAAUGACGGUAACCGGAGAAGAAGCCCCGGCUAACUUCGUGCCAGCAGCCGCGGUAAUACGAAGGGGGCUAGCGUUGUUCGGAUUUACUGGGCGUAAAGCGCACGUAGGCGGACUAUUAAGUCAGGGGUGAAAUCCCGGGGCUCAACCCCGGAACUGCCUUUGAUACUGGUAGUCUUGAGUUCGAGAGAGGUGAGUGGAAUUCCGAGUGUAGAGGGGAAAUUCGUAGAUAUUCGGAGGAACACCAGUGGCGAAGGCGGCUCACUGGCUCGAUACUGACGCUGAGGUGCGAAAGCGUGGGGAGCAAACAGGAUUAGAUACCCCAGUAGUCCCAUG